GUGCUUAACACAUGCAAGUNAACGAAGCAUUAGAACAGAUAUUUCGGUAUGAAGUUCUUUAUGACUGAGUGGCGGACGGGUGAGUAACGCGUGGGUAACCUGCCUUGUACUGGGGGAUAGCAGCUGGAAACGGCUGGUAAUACCGCAUAAGCGCACAAUGUUGCAUGACAUGGUGUGAAAAACUCCGGUGGUAUAAGAUGGACCCGCGUCUGAUUAGCCAGUUGGUGAGAUAACAGCCCACCAAGGCGACGAUCAGUAGCCGACCUGAGAGGGUGACCGGCCACAUUGGGACUGAGACACGGCCCAGACUCCUACGGGAGGCAGCAGUGGGGAAUAUUGCACAAUGGAGGAAACUCUGAUGCAGCGACGCCGCGUGAGUGAAGAAGUAAUUCGUUAUGUAAAGCUCUAUCAGCAGGGAAGAUAGUGACGGUACCUGACUAAGAAGCUCCGGCUAAAUACGUGCCAGCAGCCGCG
rnacentral:rRNA from 1 species